rnacentral:lncRNA from 1 species
GGUCUGUUGCUUAGGGCCUUGCUAAGUUGCUGAGGCUGGCUUUGAACUCGCUAUCCUUCUGGCUCAGUCUUCCGAGCCACUGGGAUUACAGGAGUGCACCACUGCACUUGACACUCGUAGAUUUGAUUACCAAUGGGCCUGAGUACCUUUUCAUGUGCUUUUUGGCCAUUUUGGUCUCUUCUGUGAAGAGGUUUUCUUCAAUUUCUGUGUAUGUUUACAGACAUAAAAAUAAGUGGAGAAAAGGGUACAAAAUCCAUCCAGAAAGAAAACAAUUUCCUCAAUCAUACAUUUCAGAGACUUGAGAACUCUGGGAAAGGGAUUUUCAUGGACUCUAUUGAAAGAAUGCCAUAAAAAUGGAACCUGACCCCAAAAUAGAAACAGAGGAGAGGAAGGCCACGGAAGAUGGGCAGUGACUCCAAACAGUGUGCAGAGCCAAGGGUAGAGGACAGGAUUCCAACACUGCAAAGCCUCAUGCGGCAGCAGCAUCGUGGUAGGGGCCAAGCAGGCUGGGGGCAGAGGAGUGACAAAUAACAGCCUCGUGCUCCACCAGCCAAUUAGUCAGUGUGUAGGGGUUUAGGAACAUCGUUCGUGGAGUGCUAAUGAAGAACCAAAAGUGCUGAAUAGCCUACCCACACAGAGUUGUGGCAGGGCGUCAACACCCCUUGUGGACAGAGGCUGGAGCAGGGCUUCUGCAUGUAACAUGAGAUCCAUGAGCAUCAUAGACUCAGACUCACUCAAAUGUGUAUAGUUGUUAGCAAUUAAAAUGAUAAAGUGACACUUUUCACCUGUCGAUUAACCAAAGUUUAAGAUGUUUGGGAUUGACUCCCGUAAGAUGCCAUGGGAAAUAGCACUCAGCAGCUCUGGGGGUGUGACUUGCCGAGACCUGUAUGAGAAGAUUCGGGUAACACCUCACAAGUUAAAAAUGCACUUCUUGUAUUUCAAAUGCACUUCAAGUAUUUCACUUCUUGUGCCAAGGUAGCUCCGAAUGUUGCUGAUUCAAAAGCUGCAUUGAUUGUAAAGGAUGAUGCACCAGCACUUCACUCCUG